CUGUGGGUGCUGCAUCCCUGGAGGCACCCAAGGGUGGGAUGGAGCCCUGGGCAGCCAGAGCUGGUGGGGGCAACCAGCCCUGCCUGGGCAUUGGAACUGAUCCUCUCCAACCCAGGCCAUUCUGUGAUUCAAUGAAAUACAAAGAGGAGUGAUGCAAGGGUGUAUUUCAUUAUUUCUUUGAAGUAUUUACUGCUGAUAGCUCUUUUUCCAGCCCUCUCUGAAGUCUGGAAGUCAAGCACUUUCUGGAGUAGUUGUGAAGUCCCCCUCCUCAGGUUUGGAAGGCUGCUGUUUCCCUGAGACUGCUGAUAAGGCUGACUGAGUCCAGCAUCAUUUGCCUUGAAAGAAAAGAGCCAGAAACUUUGAAAUACUGAUGAAAUGAAAGGUCCAACAAAAACAUCCAAUGAAAAUGUCCACUGAGAAUUUCACUGGGCACCAGAAAUUCAAGUUGCUUUUGGAAAUGGUCAAAUUGAAGCCAUGAUUCCCUCUGUACAGAAAGGAAAUUUCCUAGCCAUGUCAGUUCCAACCUGCCACUGCUGAAAGACCACUGUCACUCCAAAGCUGCUGGGCUGAUAUGUGAGCUAAAUUGGUAAUGUGGGAAGAUUGAGAAAUGUCACCAAAUACAGCAAACAAGCAACCUUGCUUUUGGAGGUUCCAUCCACAGCAGAAUGAUGAGUGGACUGAAUCUGCAGAAGGUGACAGAAACUAAAAGCUCAGUGUUCGUUUUUGUUUGCGAAGUUGGGUUCUCUAAGGAAGAGACAAAAAUGAGCAGACUUGCAUCGGAAUUACAGCGCUUUGGUUUUGACCCAUCAGAGGAAACUGGCACCACAUCACAGAGCUGCAUCAUCCCCAGAUGUAGUCAGAAGACUUUAGCCUUUCAAGCCCAUUUUUUGGCUUUGAGACUGGAACAACACUCAGGAAAAUCUUAUCUGCUGCAGGAAACAUUCCUACCUGCAUUAUCAGUUGUAGCCUGUCCUCAGAGUCGUGCAGUGGAUUCCCAAGGUUGUGUUCAGGUCUGUGCUGUGCUGCAGCAGCAGCUGUGUGAAGUGGUUUAAGGUAAGAAGAUGCUGCCAUCCUCAGCAGGAGCAGCUGCUGGUACUGAAAUGUUAGCAUGUGGGCAUCCAUGUGUUCCACGAGCAAGAUGGGGAAGAGAAGGGAUUGUAAAGCUUUGCCUGGAAAGGGAAACGAGUGAGAAGGUUUUGCUGAGCAAGCUGUGUCCAGGCAGAAGACCAGGAUUGAUAAACAGACCUGUGCAUGAUCAUGGGGCAGCAAUGAAGAGAAUGAAAGAAGCUGCCCUGACACAUCACAGAAAGCACGUUUCUUUCUAAAUCAAAUUGGCUGUCAGACGACUUCUGGAGUGCCUGGAGUUAGAGGAGAAGAGGAGGAGCACCAAGGCACCUGAGCUAGGCUGUGCUGAGGAUGAAGGGUUAAUUAGUGGCUGCUAAGCAAAUCAUAGAGCUGCUGCAUCCUUGUAAUCCUAAAGACUUGGACCCUCUCUGCCACUCCUGGCAGUGUUCUCUGGAAUAGAUGUAAGUAGAGCAGCACAGCACAGUGCAGCUCUGCUGAUCCGUGUCCUGCAGCUCCUGGCAGUGCACCUGGCUGCCUGGGAACAGAUGUGAUUUCCACUGCACUUCGUGAAACAGGUGCUUGUCAAAUGAGAUGGCUGUGAACAUUGUUGAGUGGUUCCUGUGGCUAUAAAAAUACCCUCCACCAGCACUCAUCUGCCACACACAGGAUGGAUUGUUCCGGAAAAGCUAGGAGCAAAUCCUGUAGUUAAGCCUGCCUUUCCUUUUGUUGAGUUGUGGAAACAGUGAGGGGCAAUGGGAGAUGAGCAUGUGACUUUAUGUAUUAUCAUCUCUGGGUAUUGGAGGUGCUAUUUUUGCUUCCUUCAGGGAAAAGGUAAUAUUCUGAUGUGGACAUUCACAACAGAUGGCUUUUAAGGGAGAAAAUGGAAGGGUGUUGCUGACAUCUGGUCUCUGCUCCUGGCUCCUGGAGAUAUAUAGGUGUUCUCUUUGGGAAGUUUGAUGGUAGCAUGGUGGAUAAAGCUGGAGAACCCCAUGAGCAGAGGAGAUAAAAGCUGCCAUGGCUUUGCUCAGCCACUGCUGCAAUACUUCAGGACUGCAAAGGUUUCAGGGGUCGUAGCCUCCGAUACAAACAAUUGGAUGAUGUUUAGGAAGAGCAUUCACUGUUUUUGUUCUACGCCUGCUUUGCUCAUGCAGUGUAGGGACCAGAUUGCAUGCAUGUGCCCUCAGGAUCAAGCUGCAGUGCUGGGAAGGUCCAAACUCAGCACUGUAGUGCCCUGCUGGGGAGUCCAUGUCCAGCCUGAGGGCUGAAGCCAAUGCUUUCAGAUGGCUGCUGUUUUCUGUUGGGUGGUUCUCAUCUGUCCAACAGGCACUUCUGGGUUUUGGCAGUUGCUCCCAUGUCACUGUCUGAUGGAAUUGGCCAGGUUUCAUUCAAUAGAUUGUGCUGUGCAUUGAGCUGCCAUCAGCGCAGAUGCUUUGUGAAGAGGGAGCCCAUUUAACGAGCGCUUCGUUUCUCCCUCUCUGCCCACUGUGACCUUCAGAGUUGGAGCCUUUCUGGGUGCUGUGGCUCCAGUCCAAGCAGAAAAAACCCAGCCUGCUGCUGGCACCGAGCUCCUGGGAGUCGGACUGGAACACGAGGAGAGGAUUUCCCAGUAUUUCCAACUGUGACCUUCAGAGCCAUACAAAUGCUAGUAUUAAACUCGUUACAGGCGAAGCCCUCUCGGUGACCUCGCACGGAUAACUCUCCCCCUGCUCUUUAUCUGGCUUUAUUUCCGAGACAGAUAAACGAUGCUAAUAUCCCCUCUCCAGCCAAAAGUGAAAAAGAGCACGGCCCCCUCCCCUGACUCCAGCAGAACCCAGCAAGGAAACCUCGAACUGCAUCUCCACAACCGGGAG